rnacentral:tRNA from 1 species
GAUGGUUUAACCCCUUCCCUUACUA